AGUCAACGCUGGCGGUAGGCCUAACACAUGCAGGUCGAACGGCAGCACAGUAAGAGCUUGCUCUUACGGGUGGCGAGUGGCGGACGGGUGAGGAAUACAUCGGAAUCUACUUUUUCGUGGGGGAUAACGUAGGGAAACUUACGCUAAUACCGCAUACGACCUACGGGUGAAAGCAGGGGAUCUUCGGACCUUGCGCGAUUGAAUGAGCCGAUGUCGGAUUAGCUAGUUGGCGGGGUAAAGGCCCACCAAGGCGACGAUCCGUAGCUGGUCUGAGAGGAUGAUCAGCCACACUGGAACUGAGACACGGUCCAGACUCCUACGGGAGGCAGCAGUGGGGAAUAUUGGACAAUGGGCGCAAGCCUGAUCCAGCCAUACCGCGUGGGUGAAGAAGGCCUUCGGGUUGUAAAGCCCUUUUGUUGGGAAAGAAAAGCAGCAGGUUAAUACCCCGCUGUUCUGACGGUACCCAAAGAAUAAGCACCGGCUAACUUCGUG
rnacentral:rRNA from 1 species